UACAGAGGGUGCAAACGUUGCUCGGAAUCAUUGGGCGUAAAGCGCACGUAGGCGGUCCAGCAAGUGGGGAGUGAAAGCCCUCGGCUUAACCGAGGAAGUGCUUUCCAAACUACUGGACUUGAGUACUGAAGAGGGUCGCGGAAUUCCCGGUGUAGAGGUGAAAUUCGUAGAUAUCGGGAGGAACACCAGUGGCGAAGGCGGGUCUCUGGACGAGUUCCU
rnacentral:rRNA from 1 species